UACGUAGGGCGCGAGCGUUGUCCGGAAUUAUUGGGCGUAAAGAGCUCGUAGGCGGCCGGUUGCGUCUGCUGUGAAAUCCCGGGGCUUAACCCCGGGCGUGCAGUGGAUACGGGCCGGCUGGAGGCAGGCAGGGGAGAAUGGAAUUCCCGGUGUAGCGGUGAAAUGCGCAGAUAUCGGGAAGAACACCCGGUGGCGAAGGCGGUUCUCUGGGCGUACUGACGCUGAGGUGCGAAAGCGUGGGGAGCAAACAGG
rnacentral:rRNA from 1 species